AACGCGAAGAACCUUACCUACUCUUGACAUCCAGAGAACUUAGCAGAGAUGCUUUGGUGCCUUCGGGAACUCUGAGACAGGUGCUGCAUGGCUGUCGUCAGCUCGUGUUGUGAAAUGUUGGGUUAAGUCCCGCAACGAGCGCAACCCUUAUCCUUUGUUGCCAGCGGUUCGGCCGGGAACUCAAAGGAGACUGCCAGUGAUAAACUGGAGGAAGGUGGGGAUGACGUCAAGUCAUCAUGGCCCUUACGAGUAGGGCUACACACGUGCUACAAUGGCAUAUACAAAGAGAAGCGACCUCGCGAGAGCAAGCGGACCUCAUAGAGUAUGUCGUAGUCCGGAUUGGAGUCUGCAACUCGACUCCAUGAAGUCGGAAUCGCUAGUAAUCGUAGAUCAGAAUGCUACGGUGAAUACGUUCCCGGGUCUUGUACACACCG
rnacentral:rRNA from 1 species